GUCCACUCAAAAGCAUGUGGGAUGAAAAGACAAUUGUCAUCUCACAGCUUCUUCUGACUUCAUUGCUUUUCUCAGUCAUUAUUGAGGUUCAGUUGCCUAUUUCACUUAUGGGAGUGGCAGCUCCGGGCAGUGACAUCACCCUUAGAUGCUCUUUCUCUUCUUCUAAAAACCUGAACCUCAACCACCUGAUUGUCAACUGGCAGCAUGCAGAAUCAGUGGUGGUCCACAGCUAUUACCAUGGAAGAGAUCAGCUGGACAGAGUGUUGUUUACAAAGGAUGCACUCAUCUGUUUGAAGACCAGCUCGCCGUGGGAAAUGUCUCACUUAGACUGAGUGGUGUGCAGCCGAGUGACCAGGGCAAAAACACUUGUGAUGUGACAGAUGAACAGGCUAGCACCCUGGAAAACCUAAUACUUUUAGUGAGAUGUUAGAAAGUAUGUAUUUUUGUCCUUUCAGAUUUUUUAGGAAUCUUGCAUGUAUGGGGGAUAAAUAGACAUAAAAGUAUUAAACUAUCUGCACAAAAUCAACUUAGUUAUCUACUUGCCUAAAGCCCUUUGCAGUCAGAAUUCUCCUUUGUUAAGAGUUGAAUAUGAGUAUUGUUGUUUCUGUUUACCCCUGGCCCCCUUCAAGAAUCCACAGCUCAGCUGUCUAUACAGUCAUCCUGUGACAGCUUCAUCAUCACCCUCACCUCCUCCCAGGGUUUCCCCCAGCCUGAUGUGUGGUGGACAGACUCCAUUGGAGGAGACAUCUACAAUUAGAGCCACUGCUAAAUCGGUCUGGAAAGCAGGGGGCGCUAUGAGGUCCACAGCUCCAUGGAGGUCAGGCCAAACAGUACACUCACCAUCAUUGCUGAAAUGAGACUGGAGGAUCUCAAUCAAAGCUUCACCCGCUCGCUCACCCUCCACCCACUCCCAGGUAAAGGUGCGACCUACCAACAGGUUUAAGGGUAGAGCAAUGUGACCAAGCAUGGUUCACUGAUUUAGUGAUGAAAUAUUAAACCAUUUCAUAAUCACUAAUGGCUAACCCCUGAAUAGAGAUUACUCUUACACAAAUUCUGCAAUGUAUGAAUUCUAGACAAAAUUUGUAGUCAAACACCCAUCCUAACUAAAUAUGGAUUUGACAUUUCACUUUGAGGGCAAAUGAGUCAUAUGAGCAUUGUGUAUAGAUGUACUGCAUGCAAGAAUAACACCAUUGCAGAGUGCAACUUUCCAUGACAGGAGCUGUUUACAAUGCCCUCAAUGAAAGGUUCAGUGACCAGGCAGUACUACUAGAGGAACAGGUCUUUGGGAUGUGAAGCUGAAAGCCGGUCUCUUUCUCUCUUCUCCUCCUCUUCAACAGAAUGCUGUGAGCUGCCUCUUGCAACCGGGGGCAGACCGGCUUUGGUAUUAUUAGGGAUAGUUCUCUUAGCAGCUUCAGACGUCUGAAACACACCAACACCAGCUGAUCCCACAUGACUAUACAACAGGACAAGAUGAGGCUCAUGAAACAGAGACUUGAUACAUCAUGAACAAAAAUUAGUUAUAAAAGUCUAAGCUUACAGGACUGUUUCAAUGUCACAAAUAUAGGUGUGUGUGUUGCUGCCUUCUGAAAUAUUUCCACUCCCUAUUGGUAAUGUAUUAUAGAGUACUGCUAGCAGUAGACUUUGCUACUCUCUGCAGCCCUAUGUAAUCCAGACUAUUUUGUUUUCUUUGGGGAUGCAGAGCUGUCAUGAAGGUGAAGAGUGGCUGCUUUGAAGAGUCUCAAAUAUACAUUUAGAUUUGUUUAACACUUUUUUUGAUUACGGCAUGAUUUCAUCAAGUGUUAUUUCAUAGUUUUGAUGUCUUCACUAUUAUGCUACAAUGUAGAAAAUAGUACAAAUAAAGAAAAACCUUUGAAUGAGUUGGUGUGUCCAAACAUUUGACUGGUACUGUACAUUUUGUCCAAUGUUACUGUCAAAUGUGGCCUGGUAACAACAACUGGGAAAAGUACUAUCCACCUUACAGUUGGGCUGGUUGUAAAAGUUGAUGCUACAUGACGUUGUGGAUGUAACUGCAACGUCUGGGGCAUAUUACAGAAAUAUUUCACGUUAUUACAUGGUGCUUGGAGUCACUCUGUGAGACAGUUCAUUACAUUAAUGAUAUACCGUUGCUGCAACA
rnacentral:lncRNA from 1 species